rnacentral:rRNA from 1 species
GUUGAAGGAUUUGGAAAAUUCCGCUAAAGAGGGUGAAAGCCCCGUAGACGAAAUGCUAACAACACCUAGGAGGAUCCUGAGUACGGCGGAACACGAGAAAUUCCGUCGGAAUCCGCGGGGACCAUCCCGCAAGGCUAAAUACUCCCUAGUGACCGAUAGUGAACCAGUACCGUGAGGGAAAGGUGAAAAGCACCCCGGAAGGGGAGUGAAAUAGAUCCUGAAACCGUGUGCCUACAACAAGUCAAAGCUCGUUAAUGAGUGAUGGCGUGCCUUUUGUAGAAUGAACCGGCGAGUUACGAUUGCAUGCGAGGUUAAGUCGAAGAGACGGAGCCGCAGCGAAAGCGAGUCUGAAUAGGGCGAAUGAGUAUGUAGUCGUAGACCCGAAACCAUGUGAUCUACCCAUGUCCAGGUUGAAGGUGCGGUAAAACGCACUGGAGGACCGAACCCACGUACGUUGAAAAGUGCGGGGAUGAGGUGUGGGUAGCGGAGAAAUUCCAAACGAACUUGGAGAUAGCUGGUUCUCUCCGAAAUAGCUUUAGGGCUAGCCUCGGAAUUGAGAAUGAUGGAGGUAGAGCACUGUUUGGACUAGGGGCCCAUCUCGGGUUACCGAAUUCAGAUAAACUCCGAAUGCCAUUCAUUUAUAUCCGGGAGUCAGACUGCGAGUGAUAAGAUCCGUAGUCGAAAGGGAAACAGCCCAGACCACCAGCUAAGGUCCCAAAAUAUAUGUUAAGUGGAAAAGGAUGUGGGGUUGCACAGACAACUAGGAUGUUGGCUUAGAAGCAGCCACCAUUUAAAGAGUGCGUAAUAGCUCACUAGUCGAGUGACCCUGCGCCGAAAAUGUACCGGGGCUAAACAUAUUACCGAAGCUGUGGACUACACCAUUAGGUGUAGUGGUAGGAGAGCGUUCUAAGGGCGUUGAAGGUCGAUCGUGAGGACGGCUGGAGCGCUUAGAAGUGAGAAUGCCGGUAUGAGUAGCGAAAGACAGGUGAGAAUCCUGUCCACCGUAUGACUAAGGUUUCCUGGGGAAGGCUCGUCCGCCCAGGGUUAGUCGGGACCUAAGCCGAGGCCGAUAGGCGUAGGCGAUGGACAACAGGUUGAUAUUCCU